GCUUGUGGCCAUACCACCUGGAACACGCCUGUUCAAGGUCCGGCAUGGUUUGUACUGGGACGGGAGACCACCUGGGAAUACCAGCUGCCGUAAGCU
rnacentral:rRNA from 1 species